rnacentral:rRNA from 1 species
AUUGAACGCUGGCGGCAUGCUUUACACAUGCAAGUCGAACGGGCUUGGGGGCUUGCUCCCAAGUUAGUGGCGAACGGGUGAGUAAUACAUCGGAACGUACCGUGUAGUGGGGGAUAACGUAGCGAAAGUUACGCUAAUACCGCAUACGAUCUACGGAUGAAAGCAGGGGACCUUCGGGCCUUGUGCUAUACGAGCGGCCGAUGUCUGAUUAGCUAGUUGGUGAGGUAAAGGCUCACCAAGGCGACGAUCAGUAGCGGGUCUGAGAGGAUGAUCCGCCACACUGGGACUGAGACACGGCCCAGACUCCUACGGGAGGCAGCAGUGGGGAAUUUUGGACAAUGGGCGAAAGCCUGAUCCAGCCAUGCCGCGUGUCUGAAGAAGGCC